rnacentral:snRNA from 1 species
GGAUGUGAGGGCGAUCUGGCUGCGACAUCUGUCACCCCAUUGAUCGCCAGGGUUGAUUCGGCUGAUCUGGCUGGCUAGGCGGGUGUCCCCUUCCUCCCUCACCGCUCCAUGUGCGUCCCUCCCGAAGCUGCGCGCUCGGUCGAAGAGGACGACCAUCCCCGAUAGAGGAGGACCGUCCUUCGGUCAAGGGUAUACGAGUAGCUGCGCUCCCCUGCUAGAACCUCCAAACAAGCUCUCAAAUACACAAAUGUCAGUGAAAAAGGCUGGAGAAAAACAUGAAAUUACUAAGGAUAUAAAGGCUUUAAAAGAAGCUUUU